rfam:Oryza glumipatula chromosome 8, whole genome shotgun sequence.
AAUAAGUGCAGCCAUGAGUUUUCACGCUCAAUUUUGAUCGUCCAUCUUAUUUGAAUUUUUUUCAUAAUUAGCAUUUUUGUUGUUAUAAGAUGAUAAAACAUGAAUAGUACUUUACUCGUGACUUAUGUUUUUAAUUUUUUUAAAAAAAUUUUCAAAUAAGAUGAAUGGUUAAAGCUGAGCGCGGAAAACCAUGGCUGCACUUAUU